rnacentral:rRNA from 1 species
CAGGACGAACGCUGCGGCGUGCCUAACACAUGCAAGUCGAGCGAUGAAGCUCCUUCGGGAGUGGAAUAGCGGCGGACGGGUGAGUAACACGUGGGUAACCUGCCUCAUAGAGGGGAAUAGCCUUCCGAAAGGAGAUUAAUACCGCAUAACAUAACUUUAUCGCAUGGUAGAGUUAUCAAAGGAGCAAUCCGCUAUGAGAUGGACCCGCGGCGCAUUAGCUAGUUGGUGAGGUAACGGCUCACCAAGGCGACGAUGCGUAGCCGACCUGAGAGGGUGAUCGGCCACAUUGGAACUGAGACACGGUCCAGACUCCUACGGGAGGCAGCAGUGGGGAAUAUUGCGCAAUGGGGGAAACCCUGACGCAAGCAACGCCGCGUGAGUGAAGAAGGCCUUAGGGUUGUAAAGCUCUGUCAUAUGGGAAGAUAAUGACGGUACCAUAAGAGGAAGCCACGGCUAACUACGUGCCAGCAGCCGC